UCCCAAAGAGCUCAACCACAUCUCCUCUCCUUGGCUUUUCCCACUGCUGGACCCAGUUUGGAAGUGUUGCAUGCCCUGGACAGGGAGGUGGAGCCGUGAUUCCAGAACAUGGGAGAGUGCUUGAGGCUAAACUGUGGUAGAAGCCACAGCUGGUCUGGGGGUUAGAGAGGGUUAAUGAAUGAGGUUUGUUUUGAGAAGUAUUCUCUGAGCAAGGCUGUUGGCCUUUGGACCAAGCAGAGAAGAAGGAGAUAAGUGGAAAGAAAACCUGAGCUGGGAAAAGUAUUUUAGAAUAUUAUAUAUUU